AACGAACGCUGGCGGCAUGCCUAACACAUGCAAGUCGAACGAGACCUUCGGGCCUAGUGGCGCACGGGUGCGUAACGCGUGGGAACCUGCCCUUAGGUUCGGAAUAACUCCCCGAAAGGGGUGCUAAUACCGGAUAAUGUCUUCGGACCAAAGAUUUAUCGCCUUUGGAUGGGCCCGCGUUGGAUUAGCUAGUUGGUAGGGUAAAAGCCUACCAAGGCGACGAUCCAUAGCUGGUCUGAGAGGAUGAUCAGCCACACUGGGACUGAGACACGGCCCAGACUCCUACGGGAGGCAGCAGUGGGGAAUAUUGGACAAUGGGCGAAAGCCUGAUCCAGCAGUGCCGCGUGAGUGAUGAAGGCCUUAGGGUUGUAAAGCUCUUUUACCCGGGAUGAUAAUGACAGUACCGGGAGAAUAAGCUCCGGCUAACUCCGUG
rnacentral:rRNA from 1 species